UUAAAUAUGAUGUGCUUGUAUUUCUGACUGUUAUGAUCCGCCUUCAUUUAUUACAGGUUUUGAGCCCAUUUUAUUUUUUACAUUUUCGUUUUUUUACUUCAUUGACAGGACAUUUGACGGUAUUCUGUCAGAACAUUCCCAGGCUUUUCUCAAGAAUCAAUUACUGUAGUUAGUCACUAGUGGUAUGUGUCUGUUAGUUGCUGUCCAACUUAUUGACGAGGAAGUAAACACAUUUGGACAAUGACACUAAAUUGUGUUCUAUUUAUUCCCCUGCACCGUCAACAACCGUUUUUAUUCUGAAACCCUUCGACCGGAAGUACUAUUUCCCUUCCCCGGUGAAAACAAACAGAUAGGUGACAAAAUAACGUUAGCAGUGGACAUGCUGCCAACGUUACGCACGUUUAACCUAGUUACCGUGUUGGAUGUUCACCUCCCCUGGGUCGCUUUGCCCCAGUGUCCAAAAUAAUGGAAACACCAUAUGGCAGAGGACUUUGGAACACCUGAGUGGCAAUUACAGGGCCUGCCUGCCAGUUGGGAUUGUUUGUCGCCUCCGAGAAGUGGCUAUCGAUGCCCGAAUAGCGGUGCUCGACGCAAUAUGAGUGACUUAACGGAGUUUGAAAGAUGCCAAAUAGUUGCUGCAAGACUAUCUGGUGCAUCUGUCACAAAAACUGCACAGCUGUUCAAUGUGGCCAGGGGAACAGUGUCCAGAGUGAUGACUGUGUACAUCAAACACGGACGAACGGCAUCAGCAAAGAAGAACAGCGGGCGCAAGUCAAAGCUCACUGAAAGGGACAGACAGACACUUCUCAGGAUAGUUGAUGAGCACCCGGAGUAUACAGCGUCAAAAAUAACCUCGGAGUUGAAUAGACACCUCUCUCACGCCGUCUCAGUCAAAACUAUACGGCGAGAGCUCCACAAAGCUGGAAUUUUUCGAGGAGCCAGCAGUCGGAAAACGGAGGCUGAGUCCAACACACAGAAGCCAGGAGGAGAAAACACUAAAUCCAAACCUGAGAAAUCGAGCGGCACACACAGAACUGGUGAAGAGAGCACGAGGCCUGAAAGGGAAACGAAGGACAAGGAGUGUGGCACAACAAUAUCAGAGCCCCAGGCUUGUGGCGAAGAAUUCAACGGAGAGGAGAGGAUACAACCUGAACCCAAAGUCUGUGAAGAAGAAGAAGGAGAAGGAGGAGGAGGAGGAGUACAGCACAAAACAGCUUGGUGAAGAGAGCGUGGGACUUGAACCCCAGAUCAGUGAAACAGAAUAACGUGUUGUAUUUCUGCCUUUCUAAUACGUCCACAUUGGUCAUGUUAAUGGAAAUCACAGAAUUCCUUCAUCUCUUGAUUCAACAACUGUUAAAUGUGACUGGAUCUGAAAUUAUAUUUCAGUUUCUAGGUUGUAUUAUUUAUUUUUGCAUGAAUGUGUAACACUGCAAUAUUCUGGCUUUUCUUUCUGAUUCUUUUUCUCAAUUACAAAAACACAGUUAACUUAAAUUGUUGAGUGUUGAGAAUUACCUUGUUGUAAGAGUUAAAAUAUCCAUAUGGUAGAUUUCUUAACAUUUUGUUUUGAUGUCUGUUUAAAAAUUCACAGUUCACUGAUUUAAUCUGAGUCGUCACAUCCCUCCCUCUUUGCUUUUGUAGACAACAUGUCAUGUUUAUGGCACCUGCAUGUCCGUAUCUAUGGCAGGUUGUGGGACACACAGUAUCAGACAACUUAUGUAAUGUUGAUACUGUAUAUUAAAACAUUACACAGAAGAAGAACACAAGUUGUCUGUAUGUUCUAUUAGUUAUGUUUAAAUACACUCUGCUCGUUUUAUUCUCUGACAAGAAAUUAUAAGCACCACUGUACAGCCCAUGAAAUUACAACAGUGGUGGGAUAAGUAUCCAGAUCAGUUACUUGAGUAAAGUACAAAUAAAGCACUGAAAAACGUU